rnacentral:rRNA from 1 species
CCUUAGAGUUUGAUCCUGGCUCAGGACGAACGCUGGCGGCGUGCUUAACACAUGCAAGUCGAACGGGGUGUUUAUUUCGGUAAACAUCAAGUGGCGAACGGGUGAGUAACGCGUAAGCAAUCUACCUUCAAGAUGGGGACAACACUUCGAAAGGGGUGCUAAUACCGAAUGAAUGUAAGAGUAUCGCAUGAGACACUUACUAAAGGAGGCCUCUGAAAAUGCUUCCGCUUGAAGAUGAGCUUGCGUCUGAUUAGCUAGUUGGUGAGGGUAAAGGCCCACCAAGGCGACGAUCAGUAGCCGGUCUGAGAGGAUGAACGGCCACAUUGGGACUGAGACACGGCCCAGACUCCUACGGGAGGCAGCAGUGGGGAAUCUUCCGCAAUGGGCGAAAGCCUGACGGAGCAACGCCGCGUGAACGAUGAAGGUCUUAGGAUCGUAAAGUUCUGUUGUUAGGGACGAAGGGCAAGGGUUAUAAUACAGCCUUUGUUUGACGGUACCUAACGAGGAAGCCACGGCUAACUACGUGCCAGCAGCCGCGGUAAUACGUAGGCGGCAAGCGUUGUCCGGAAUUAUUGGGCGUAAAGGGAGCGCAGGCGGGAAACUAAGCGGAUCUUAAAAGUGCGGGGCUCAACCCCGUGAUGGGGUCCGAACUGGUUUUCUUGAGUGCAGGAGAGGAAAGCGGAAUUCCCAGUGUAGCGGUGAAAUGCGUAGAUAUUGGGAAGAACACCAGUGGCGAAGGCGGCUUUCUGGACUGUAACUGACGCUGAGGCUCGAAAGCUAGGGUAGCGAACGGGAUUAGAUACCCCGGUAGUCCUAGCCGUAAACGAUGGAUACUAGGUGUGGGAGGUAUCGACCCCUUCCGUGCCGGAGUUAACGCAAUAAGUAUCCCGCCUGGGGAGUACGGCCGCAAGGUU